rnacentral:lncRNA from 10 species
GUAGGUUGUUUCCGUAUUUUGGCUAUUGUGAAUAGUGCUGCAAUAAACAUGGAAGUGCUGAUAUAUCUUUGAGAUCUUGACUUCAAACAAAAGAAGAAAAUCUUGCAAUAUAUGACAACACGGAUUAACCUGGAGGACAUUGUGCUUAGUGAAGUUAGCCAGUCACAGACUGACAAGUACUGCACGAUUCCACUUAUGAAGACUACAGUUCCUAUCUUCACAGGUGGCUGUUAGCUCUAAAUGAACUCAUUUAUUUUGAAAGCAUGAUUUAAAGUAUAGUUUUAAACUAUAAGCAUUUCAGAAGUGAUGACCCAUGACUCAAAUCUCAAAAAUAAAUGCUACAGUUCACAGUUGGAAUAUGGACACAAGAAAAAUAAUAGAUGAUGCCACUGAAAGGUAAACAUACCAUUCUGACAUGCAUGAAAAUGAAACGACAAAUUGAUACACGCAGUGCUUGGAAUGGAUGGAGUCCUUCUAAUGAGUGAUUACCUGUGGUAUAACUAUAUUGAUUGUGUUUGUACAUGUCAAAUGGGGCUGGCGAGGAUGAACUUGAAGAAAUCAAUCUUGGAACCUGCUAGGACAGCAGCCUCCUGGUUUCACAGUACUAAAUCAUGACUUCAAAAUUUUGAAGUAAAAGAAAACUGCAAAACUUUGUAAAGGUACCAGUCUCUUCCUGACACUAUUUGCCUUGGCAAAAGAUUCACUGUCAACUUAAAAGACUAACAUGUGCUCAGAUGAUGAUUUGUGGAGGACAGAUAAUUAUGAGUACAUUUAGAAAUACACACUCUUCC